rnacentral:rRNA from 1 species
AAUGAAACCAGAUAUGACUUAGUGGCGGACGGGUGAGUAACACGUGAGCAACCUGCCUUUCAGAGGGGGACAACAGUUGGAAACGACUGCUAAUACCGCAUGAAGCAUAGGGGUCGCAUGAUUCUUAUGCCAAAGAUUUAUCGCUUCAAGAUGGCCUCGCGUCUGAUUAGCUAGUUGGCGGGGUAACGGCCCACCAAGGCGACGAUCAGUAGCCGGACUGAGAGGGUGACCGGCCACAUUGGGACUGAGACACGGCCCAAACUCC